rnacentral:rRNA from 1 species
GAUGAACGCUGGCGGCGUGCCUAAUACAUGCAAGUCGAGCGAACGGACGAGAAGCUUGCUUCUCUGAUGUUAGCGGCGGACGGGUGAGUAACACGUGGAUAACCUACCUAUAAGACUGGGAUAACUUCGGGAAACCGGAGCUAAUACCGGAUAAUAUUUUGAACCGCAUGGUUCAAAAGUGAAAGACGGUCUUGCUGUCACUUAUAGAUGGAUCCGCGCUGCAUUAGCUAGUUGGUAAGGUAACGGCUUACCAAGGCAACGAUGCAUAGCCGACCUGAGAGGGUGAUCGGCCACACUGGAACUGAGACACGGUCCAGACUCCUACGGGAGGCAGCAGUAGGGAAUCUUCCGCAAUGGGCGAAAGCCUGACGGAGCAACGCCGCGUGAGUGAUGAAGGUCUUCGGAUCGUAAAACUCUGUUAUUAGGGAAGAACAUAUGUGUAAGUAACUGUGCACAUCUUGACGGUACCUAAUCAGAAAGCCACGGCUAACUACGUGCCAGCAGCCGCGGUAAUACGUAGGUGGCAAGCGUUAUCCGGAAUUAUUGGGCGUAAAGCGCGCGUAGGCGGUUUUUUAAGUCUGAUGUGAAAGCCCACGGCUCGACCGUGGAGGGUCAUUGGAAACUGGAAAACUUGAGUGCAGAAGAGGAAAGUGGAAUUCCAUGUGUAGCGGUGAAAUGCGCAGAGAUAUGGAGGAACACCAGUGGCGAAGGCGACUUUCUGGUCUGUAACUGACGCUGAUGUGCGAAAGCGUGGGGAUCAAACAGGAUUAGAUACCCUGGUAGUCCACGCCGUAAACGAUGAGUGCUAAGUGUUAGGGGGUUUCCGCCCCUUAGUGCUGCAGCUAACGCAUUAAGCACUCCGCCUGGGGAGUACGACCGCAAGGUUGAAACUCAAAGGAAUUGACGGGGACCCGCACAAGCGGUGGAGCAUGUGGUUUAAUUCGAAGCAACGCGAAGAACCUUACCAAAUCUUGACUUCCUUUGACAACUCUAGAGAUAGAGCCUUCCCCUUCGGGGGACAAAGUGACAGGUGGUGCAUGGUUGUCGUCAGCUCGUGUCGUGAGAUGUUGGGUUAAGUCCCGCAACGAGCGCAACCCUUAAGCUUAGUUGCCAUCAUUAAGUUGGGCACUCUAAGUUGACUGCCGGUGACAAACCGGAGGAAGGUGGGGAUGACGUCAAAUCAUCAUGCCCCUUAUGAUUUGGGCUACACACGUGCUACAAUGGACAAUACAAAGGGCAGCGAAACCGCGAGGUCAAGCAAAUCCCAUAAAGUUGUUCUCAGUUCGGAUUGUAGUCUGCAACUCGACCACAUGAAGCUGGAAUCGCUAGUAAUCGUAGAUCAGCAUGCUACGGUGAAUACGUUCCCGGGUCU